ACCAAACAACCCCACAUUACAACGCAGUGACACAAGGUGGCCAGACACCACACAGACUAGAGCAGAGAGAGGGGUGGCACAAGGUGGCCAGACACCACACAGACUAGAGCAGAGAGAGGGGUGACACAAGGUGGCCAGACACCACACAGACUAGAGCAGAGAGAGGGGUGACACAAGGUGGCCAGACACCACACAGACUAGAGCAGAGAGAGGGGUGACACAAGGUGGCCAGACACCACACAGACUAGAGCAGAGAGAGGGGUGACACAAGGUGGCCAGACACCACACAGACUAGAGCAGAGAGAGGGGUGACACAAGGUGGCCAGACACCACACAGACUAGAGCAGAGAGAGGGGUGACACAAGGUGGCCAGACACCACACAGACUAGAGCAGAGAGAGGGGUGACACAAGGUGGCCAGACACCACACAGACUAGAGCAGAGAGAGGGGUGACACAAGGUGGCCAGACACCACACAGACUAGAGCAGAGAGAGGGGUGACACAAGGUGGCCAGACACCACACAGACUAGAGCAGAGAGAGGGGUGACACAAGGUGGCCAGACACCACACAGACUAGAGCAGAGAGAGGGGUGACACAAGGUGGCCAGACACCACACAGACUAGAGCAGAGAGAGGGGUGACACAAGGUGGCCAGACGCCACACAGACUAGAGCAGAGAGAGGGGUGACACAAGGUGGCCAGACGCCACACAGACUAGAGCAGAGAGAGGGGUGACACAAGGUGGCCAGACGCCACACAGACUAGAGCAGAGAGAGGGGUGACACAAGGUGGCCAGACGCCACACAGACUAGAGCAGAGAGAGGGGUGACACAAGGUGGCCAGACGCCACACAGACUAGAGCAGAGAGAG